AUAAGUCACAUUUUAAAGACACAAUUGAAAUGAUUAUUUCACACCAAACUAAAAAAAUAUUCUAUUUGUACAGGAGGAAGACAAAAACUUCAUCAAACAUUCAGAUGAAGAAAGGAUAUUUCUAUUUCUUAAUAGAGCCUGUAAAGGUGAUUUAAAGACAAUUCGCAGGUAUUUACAGACAGACAUUAAACUUUGUAAUAAAAUUGACUAUGAUGAAAGAUCAGCUUUACAUAUGGCAGUAGCAGAGGGACAUAUUCACUUGGUUAAAUAUCUAUUGAAGCAUGGAGCUGAUAAGCUUAUGAAAGACAGAUGGCAACGUACACCUUUAGAUGAAGCAAAGGAAAGUGGAGAUCAAAAUAUGAUAAGACUGUUUGAAAGUUAAUACACCCACAUUAAGUAUACAUAUAUAUAUUGAUACUUAAUGAUGAGGUUAUCUAAAAGAACAGCAAACUGCCAAAUAAAAGCUUGAAGUACGCUUUAUAAUAUUAUCUAUGUUCCUGUUGUACAACUCUUUAUACAAUUUUACAUUGUUCACAAGUAUGAUUUACUUUGUUCACAAGUAUGUAUCUGUUGAACCCUAGCUAGUCAAGCAGUUGUUCUAUCUACUUUUUUUAUUAUAAGUAGAAGGAUAACAUUGUUUUAUUUGUAUAAAUCUUCUGCCAUGGCAAUACAAAAAUAAGAAGAUGUGGUGUAAUUUCCAAUGAGACGAACACUCCACCAGAAACCAAAUGACAGAAUUUAACAACUAUAAGUCACUUUAGUAAAAUUUUUUUUAAACUUUACUGGUAUAUUUGCAAGUAAAUGAUGCUAACAAUAGGAUCAGGAAUAAAACAUUCUGAACAAACAUCUUGAAGUGAAAUAUUUUUUUUGUAAGUAGAAGGUUAACAUUGUAUUAAUAUGUGUUCAUUUCAAACUUUGAAUCUUCUGCUAUGGCAAGUAUAUUAUUUUUUUUAAUUUACUAGUUUAUUUAGAAAUAAAUGACGCUAACAAUUGGAUAAGGAAUAAAACAUUCUGAACAAACAUAGUGGAGAAACUAUAGUUUAAUCAUACUUUUCAAAAAUGCUAGCUUAAAAACAAAAAAUUUAUUUAUUCAACUAUAUAGUCAUUGUGAAACAAAUACUCUGUUCACUCUAUCCGAUUUGAUUUUAGUUUCUGCUCAAAUAAGUUGAUAAUGAAAAAAAUCAGGGGUUAUUUUGGGUAGUAUGAACAUCUUACCAGUAACCAUUGCCAAACAUGGACUGAUUUUCAUUGGCGUUAAUCUUGCAAUCUAUAUAAAGAGUGAGCAAGAAAAAGUAGGAGUUCACUACUCUAUACAGAAUAUACAUGAAUUCAUAUACACAGGAAGGCAGAUUGGUGCUGUAGGUUUCCUCAAAACCCCUUAAAGGAGUUGGGAAAAAUUGAGACUUGAAAAACUUGCAUUUGUUAUGCAGAGAAAGUAAUCAAAUCCAACCGAGAGAUUCAACUAACAUUUUUUGUACAUACUGGUACAUGUCUAUUUUUGUUAAGCAGGGAACCUAAAAUUGAGGUGAAUUGAAUAACAAGUGUGAACUUAGGUAUCCCAGGUUCAUCCAGAAGCAAAUUUCAUAAUGUGAACUCACUAAAAGUCGUACAGGUUUCCUACAACAACAGUGUUCCCUGAUGAUAAACAAUAUGUAUUCAACUAGCUUCUGAUUUUUUAAGCUAAGGCCUAGCAGUAUGAAAAAAUCAUUCAAUACAAUUGCAUUUUACAGAUCGACAAUUUCACACUGCCAUUGUCAUUUUUUAUUUAUUAUACAUGUAUUCGUAUUAAAUAUAUUACAUAGAUAUAUUUUUUCCUUUUUAUUUACCACUAAGCAUUUUAAUGAUAAGUUAUCAUUUAUUUAUAUAUACAUGUAUUUGAUAUUAUUUUUUGGUUGGUGCUUAUUUUGUAUUUUAAUAAAUAUUGAUAAUAAAAUCUAAAUGUAUGUCCAUAUUGUACAUUUUUUUACUGUAUAUUUCUUAAUUACUUUUUCAGCCUUGUAUGUAUUUGAUACUUUUGCUCUGUGUAUUUUCAAUUUUAUCAUAAAUGUUGAGUCUUAUGUAAAUGUAAUGCACAUCUGAUGUACUAAAUUUUGAUAUCCUUGAAAAGAUUUUGUUAAAAUAGGCAUUCUGCUGCUUAAUUUAAUGCAAUGAACAAGUUAAUUACUGGUCAUGAAAAAAUGUUGCUGGCUUUAGUGAAACACUAGACGUAAACACUAUCAUCCUUAAGAUAUGAAUCAAAAAGGUUUAUUUCGUUAAAUGAGACAGCAACCUAACUUCACAAAAACUAAAAAAUAUCUAGAGAUCAGCAUAAACUUAUUGAAAUAGACAGGAGUCUAUACAAUAUAUCCAGCUCUCAUUCCUGACUAAACAUUGUUGCUAUUAAAUUUAACAUAAACUAUGAAAGAGUUGCUAUCAACAGCAAAUACCCAAAAAUGCCUAAUAUCAGGGAGAUUUUUUGGAUAACAAAAGACCACUACUGAUGAUGUACGUGACUUAGGAGGGGCACAUACUUUGGGCAGGGUACCGGUAACACUAAUGUUUAGUUUAUAAGCUAAUCAAAUAUACCUUCUGGUAAAACAGCUUAUCUGAAUUUACUAGAAAUAGAACCAAGGAUUAAUAUUUUUAAAUGAAAAUCCUGUAAAGGAUGUGAAGCUGCGCAACAUCAAUUUGAAAAAAAAAAAUUAUUGCUGACCCUCUUAAGAAAUGUUGAUUUAUCAAACAUUUAAAAAAAUAAGUUUACAGAUAAUGGGAAAAAAUAAGGAAAAUCUAGAUAAAUGGCCAGUCACCACCAAUAUGUGGACUCAAUAUUGAUAUAUAUCAUUCCAUACCUAAAAUUGCUCUUUACCAAAAUAUGUCACCUUUUAGAAUGACACUUUCACUGAAUAUAUGAUGUCAAUGAGAUCCAAAUACUUAAAAUUUGCGUGUUAAAUCACUUUUUUUUUGUUACCACCCUUUUAACUCAUUCUUGACAGCCAAUUAUUUCACAACCAAAACACUGCAGAUAAGAGAGCUUUUUUGUCGAGCCUUCGACUUUAGUCGAAAAAGCGAGACAUAGCGAUCCUACAUUCCGUCGGCGGCGGCGGCGGCGUCCACAAAUAUUCACUCUGUGGUUAAAGUUUUUGAAAUUUUAAUAACUUUCUUAAACUAUCCUGGAUUUCUACCAAACUUGGACAGAAGCUUGUUUAUGGUUAUAAGAUAGUAUCCAGAAGUAAAUUUUGUAAAAAUAAAAUUCCAUUUUUUCCGUAUUUUACUUAUAAAUGGACUUAGUUUUUCUGCCGGGAAAUAUUACAUUCACUCUGUGGUUAAAGUUUUUAAAAUUUUAAUAACUUUCUUAAACUAUCCUGGGUUUCUACCAAACUUGGACAGAAGCUUGUUUAUGAUCAUAAGAUAGUAUCCAGAAGUAAAUUUUGUAAAAAAAAAAAUCCAUUUUUUCCUUAUUUUACUUUUAAAUGGACUUAGAUUUUCUGCCAGGAAACAACACAUUCACUCUGUGGUUAAAGUUUUUAAAAUUUUAAUAACUUUCUUAUACUAUUUUGGAUUUGUACCAAACUUGGACAGAAGCUUGUUUUAGAUCAAAAGCUAGUAUCUAGAAGGAAAUUUUGUAAAAAAAUAAAUCCAUUUUUUCAGUAUUUUACUUUUAAAUGGACUUAGAUUUUCUGCCAGGAAACAACACAUUCACUCUGUGGUUAAAGUUUUUAAAAUUUUAAUAACUUUCUUAUACUAUUUUGGAUUUGUACCAAACUUGGACAGAAGCUUGUUUAUGGUCAAAUGCUAGUAUCUAGAAGGAAAUUUUUUUUUUUCUUCCAGUUAACAUUACAUUCAGUCUGCAGUUAAUGUUUUUAAACAUUUAUUAGAUUCAUAAACUAUCCUUGAUUUUUACCAAACUUGGACAAAAGCUUCUUACAAUCAAAAGAAAGUAUCAAGAGGAAUAUUUUUAUUGAUUUACUUCCUCAUUUUUGUUGAGCCUGCGAUUAACAGAAAAAGUAGGCGAGACACUGGGUUCCGCGGAACCCUUACGAAUUUUAUAGUAUGUUUGUUAAAAUUUUUUUGCAUACCGUAUUAUCAAAGGGCUUUUCAUAUUAUGGUAGUCCAGGAAUAAAUAUAUGUUUUACACUUUGAAAGUGCUACCUACCUUUAUUUUUUUUUUCCUUUCUGGAAGGAAUAUAUAUGAAAUGAUCUUGCUUCCUAACUGAGUUAAAAAAAAAAUAUGUCCAGCCUCACAUGUUUAACUGCAGAUUUUAUGUCUAUAUAUCACUUUUUCAUAGAUUUACCAAUUAAUACAUGUUUUUUAAAAUUGAGUAAAGUGGAUUUUAAAAAGGUCGAAAACAAGUCUGUAUACUUCGUUAAUCUGUUUUUGCAUCUUUGCUGAUGAUAUGUAGUAUUGGUUGAAGUUGUAAGAACUAUUUGCGUGCUUUAUCAUUUUUAUAUCAAGAACAAUAUAAAUACAAUUUCAAACUUAUUUGUGAUUUUUAAAAAAAUCAUUAUCUUGGCCUGAGAGUGCAUCACAUGAUGAUUUUUCCAGGUAAUACAUUUUAGGUAACAUGUAUCUGGCACCACUAAAAAACAAUGAAUGAAAAAGGUCAAUGUGUUGAUAUUUCAAUGGGAAAAUUAAUUUAGGUUCAGUAGUUUAUUCGUCUCAAAUGUUUUAAAAAAAGUAUCUGAUAAUCUUGGUGAAUGUGCUCCUUAUGAGGACAAUAAAUUGUGAAAAUGCCUUAUGUGACUAAUUUAUGGUUACAUGUAGAAAUAUUCACUUAUAUAAUAAGUGACAACUUUACAAUAGACAUUCUCUAUUGGAUAACCACAAUUAUAUAUAAAAAAUUUAGCCAACCAAUAUAAGAUCUGCAAAUUUACAUUAUAUUGAUUAUUGAUUGAUUGAUUGGUGUUUAAUGCCACUUUCAGCACUUUUGUGCUAUUUCGUGGCAGUCAGUUAUUAAAUGCGGAAGGAAGCCGAAGUAAGUUGAGAGAUCCACGAAGUAAAACUGACAAUCCUAGUCAAAUAAGAUUGGAGUCGAGCUCACCUGCCACAUGCGGGAUUUGAACUCACAACUUUAGUGUUGACAGGCUAGUGAUAAAAAAGUUCAGCUACUUAGACCACUCUGCCACAGAGGCCUCUAAUUUAAAUUAGAAAUUAGAAAUUUGUUUUGCAUGCACAUGUAUAAAAAUUGCAGUUUUUAUCCAACGCAAUCAUAGAUUUGAACUUUGUUUUCAAUUUAGACUUAUCUAUCUAUAUAUAUAUGUGCAUGCAAAACAAAUUUCUUGGUAGAGGGGUCUAAAUACAGCACAAACAACAUUUUCCAAAAGACCAAAAAAGUGAAAAAGUAUAUUUAAACAAAACACAUUUGACUAACAGGUCGAACAACGGAUGUUCUUAAACUCUUCUGACUGCCAUUGGCAAUUGCCAAAUAAACAGAUCACAAGAUGCAACAAAAUGGAUCUUUAUUAUUAAUUUAAUACCAAACAGAAAACAAUAAACUUGCACAAAAGAUGGUAUACUGCAAACAUGAGGUGCAAAAAUUUAUACACCAUAUCCGGAUUUCGACAAUUAACGUCUCUUCAGUGAUGUUAGGAAUCGAAACAGUAUUUGGAAGGCCAUAUAUUUUACCUCAAUUUAGGAUAGACUCUUGAAUUUUGAAGAGUCGAAAUAGGAUAAACGGAUCAUAUAAACCCAUAGAUAUAGUAGAUACUUCAUGCAAAUUUGCAUGAGCUUAAAGGUUGAUGGGCUAGAUUUGAGACGAAGUAUAUAUAAAUGAUGGUGUUAGCCCUGUAUAACCACAGGUUAUCAGAUGGAGAAUGUUUGUUUUAAAGUUGUCACAUAUUUAUAUAUGUUGUGUACAAAUUGUAAUGUUGUACAAAUUAUAAUUCGUACAGUAUUUUUGUACAAGUUGUCAGUAUUUUGUGAAUACCUUUACAUAACUAGAUUAAAUAAGCACAGUGUCUUUGGUUAAGCUUGUCACUGUCUUAUUUCCACAACUACAUGCUACAGUCUUGCACAUAGUACUGACAAAAAGUUUAUACAAAAACACUAAAAUAUAUUUUGUGGACAUAGAAUUUGUUAUAAGUAAAAAAAUAAAAAUAUAAUCUAAACCAAUCAUGCGACCUUAUUUGUAGUUUUAUGACAUAGAGGACAGUGCUUAAUGUUAGGUUGAAGUAUAUAAAUUUGUGAGUAAAACACAGAACUGGAUAAUUAUUGAAGGUAAACUUGUAUCACAUGGUGAAAGAAGGUGUGUGUCAAAAUACUGAUAACUUGUACAAAAACCCUGUACAAAUUAUAAUUUGUACGAAAUUACAACUUGUACACAACAUAUAUACUAAUCAAAACUAAAUAAUAACAGUACUAUUCAGAUACCAUAUUACUAACUUGAUGCAGAUUUUGUAUUUUUUAUAAAAGAUAAUUCAGUGAAUUGUAAUUGUAAUUGUAGUAUUGCUCAUUGCUGACGAUGAACCUCAUCACUGCCAUUUCUACCAAUUUGGUUUCUGAGAGCGUUAUUUGUUUUGUUUUUUUAUUUGGACAUUUAGUUUAUAAUGUAAGUUUGUAUCAAGCAAUGUAUCUGCUCACUUCCCUCAUCAGUAUGUAGCUGAUGUCUUGUGUUUUUUUUAAGUACAAUAGAUAAUAUUUUGUUGUAUUAGCAUUGGCACAUCUCAUUUCCAUGGGGAUUAUUUUGCCCUGCCCCCUCAGUCAUGGUCUAUUGACUUUAAAACUAUUACUUAAUUUACAUGUAUUAGUUUGUGAUUAGGUCAGUUUAUGUGGAACCACUAGUGGUAGGUAAAUGAUAUUUGGUAUGCAGUUGUAUAAGCAUUGGCAUAUCUCAUUUCCAUAGAGAUUGUUUGGCUCUUUCCCCUCAGUCAUGGUCUAUUGACUUUUAAUUUUUUGCUUAGUUUACAUGUAUUAGUUUGUGAUUAUGUCAGUUAAAGGGGAACCAUUAGUGGUAGGCCAAUGUUAAUUGGUAUUCAGUUGUAUAAGCAUUAGCGCAUCUCAUUUCCAUGGAGAUUAUUUGGCCCGGCCCCCUCAGUCAUGGUCUAUUGACUUUGAAACUUUUGCUUAGUUUACAUAUGGAUCAGUUUGUGAUUGGAUCAGUUUAAGAUGAACUGCUAAUGUUAAGUCAAUGAUAUUUGGUAUGCAAAUUUAUUGGCAUUUGCAAGUCUCGUUUCCAUUGAGAUUAUAUAGCUCCAACCCCUCAUCAUGGUUCAUUGACUUUAAAACUUUUACAUAGUGUUUAGGUUUGUUUAAAGGGAAUGACUUAUGAUAAGUCAAUAGUAUUUGGUAUGCAGUUUUAUUUAGCACUGGCACAUCUCAUUUCCAUGGAGAUUGUUAAGCCAUGUACCUUCAGUCAAGGUUCAUUGACUUUGGAUAUUUUCAUAACUUACAUGUUAAAGUAUUGCUAUUUUAAUUUCAACAUUUGCAUUAUCAAAAUUACAAAAAGGCAAGACAUAUCUCUGUGUUAGCCUGCUUCUGCCUUGCAUUGCAUUUUUUCAACAUUUAAAUCAGGUGUUUGUUUUUUCUUUUUCUUUUUGUUGUUAUUUAUUUAUUUAUAUUUUAAUGUAGAUAGAUAAUUGACAAAACAACUUGCAAAAUGAAAAUGAUCUUAAAUGUGCGUAUUUUAAGCUAUGUUAUUAAUAAAUUAAUGUAUGCAUGUUGCAAAAUAUAAAAGAUAGUGACUUCAA